AUGAACGCUGGCGGCGUGCCUAAUACAUGCAAGUCGAGCGAACAGACGAGGAGCUUGCUCCUCUGACGUUAGCGGCGGACGGGUGGGUAACACGUGGAUAACCUACCUAUAAGACUGGGAUAACUUCGGGAAACCGGAGCUAAUACCGGAUAAUAUAUUGAACCGCAUGGUUCAAUAGUGAAAGACGGUUUUGCUGUCACUUAUAGAUGGAUCCGCGCCGCAUUAGCUAGUUGGUAAGGUAACGGCUUACCAAGGCAACGAUGCCUAGCCGACCUGAGAGGGUGAUCGGCCACACUGGAACUGAGACACGGUCCAGACUCCUACGGGAGGCAGCAGUAGGGAAUCUUCCGCAAUGGGCGAAAGCCUGACGGAGCAACGCCGCGUGAGUGAUGAAGGUCUUCGGAUCGUAAAACUCUGUUAUUAGGGAAGAACAAAUGUGUAAGUAACUAUGCACGUCUUGACGGUACCUAAUCAGAAAGCCACGGCUAACUACGUG
rnacentral:rRNA from 1 species